UCCCAGGGGAAGAGUUUGUGCAUCACAAUGCCAGGCAGCUGACCAGGGUUUAUCCCAGUGGCCUCAGAAGAAACUCCUCCAACUUCAACCCACAGGAGAUGUGGAACACAAGGACUCAAAUAAGUAGUUGCGUUGAAUUUCCAGAUGGCAGGGGUUGAGAUGGACCUCAACGAUGGACUGUUCAGUCAAAAUGGCCGCUGUGGCUAUGUCCUCAAACCUGACUUCAUGAGGAUGUCAGAGAGGAGGUUCGAUCCUGAGGUUCCACAGAACCGGGAAGGCUACCAACCCCGCAGUCUCUUGCUUUCAGGUGAUCAGUGCACAGUAGCUUCCCAAAGUGAAUAUCAAGGAGAGCUCCGUUGUGGACCCGUUUGUGAGAGUGGAGAUCCAUGGACUUCCUCUAGACCAGGCCAAGCAGGAGACCAGAUACAUAAACAACAAUGUGUGGUAUGACACUUUGCGGUUCACCAUCCAUGUGCCUGAACUGGCCCUGGUACGCUUUGUCGUGGAGGACUACGACAAGGCGUCAAGGAAUGAUUUUGUCGGACCUUGCCUUUCUCAUGUAUUCAGCAAGGAUACCGUCACAUCCACCUCCUGUCAAAGGACGGAACCAGUAUCCCCCCGCCUCCUUAUUUGUACAUGUUCGAAUCACUAACCUGGUAUAAGCUGAACGCUAGAGAUUCCAGUCGCUGCUUACCUCUCUGGCAUUUACAAGACUUGUAGAUAGAAAACACUGAAGGUGAAAGACGCUGAAGGCGGGAGACGUGACAAAAAGAGAACAAGCCAUCGUUCCGAGUUUUACCAGACAGUUUUGACAUUCAAGAGCUAGUUUCACAAACUAUGUAAUGAAUACUUCCUGUAGCAACUUCCUCGAAAGAGUAUGUAAUGUUGUGCAUAUACUAAGCCAAAGUUUUUUUUGUAGGUAUUAAUGUACGUUUAGAAAGUAUGAUUGGUGUGGUUUUCACUUGUGAUCUACAAUUCUAUAUUUACAGUGUCUAUUCCCAAUCAGAUGUAUUACUGAAGAACUGGCUCUGGGAUGAUUCUGUUUUUCCAACUCUAUGUCAUCAAAUGCUAGUCAACUACACAACUGUAUUUGAGAUAAUUUUUUGUUUUGCUGCAAUGAUAUGUAGCGAAGAAGUGUGCCUCCACUGGUCAAGAGUGAUGACACAUUUCAACAUAAUUUCAGUCAAUCUUCUUAUCCACACCACAUUAUUUUCAAUGAACCAAGCUCCUCAAGAAUGUAACAUUGAUGAGGCUGUUUGGUUAGAGUUGCCUAGGCUUACUGCAGGACACAUUUCCUCCCUCUUUUGCCCCAUUGGCAAGUUUUGGUUUAAAAUUGGUUAUGAUGCCAAUGAAAACAAAUAUACUCCAUUCCUCAUCUCUCUCGCUCUCUCUCUCUAAUGCAUAUUAUCAUUUCCAUGAACAAUAUUCGGAACAAUCCGUUUAGUAUACAUAGCAAUUAUAGCGAAACUCAAAAAUGCCUCAACUCAUGUCAUC